AUUGAACGCUGGCGGCAUGCCUUACACAUGCAAGUCGAACGGUAACAGGUCUUCGGAUGCUGACGAGUGGCGAACGGGUGAGUAAUACAUCGGAACGUGCCUAGUAGUGGGGGAUAACUACUCGAAAGAGUGGCUAAUACCGCAUGAGAUCUACGGAUGAAAGCAGGGGAUCGCAAGACCUUGUGCUACUAGAGCGGCCGAUGGCAGAUUGGGUAGUUGGUGGGAUAAAAGCUUACCAAGCCGACGAUCUGUAGCUGGUCUGAGAGGACGAUCAGCCACACUGGGCCUGAGAAACGGACCAGAGUCCUACGGGAGGCAGCAGUGGGGAAUUCUGGACAAUGGGCGCAAGCCUGAUCCAGCAAUGCCGCGUGCAGGAUGAAGGCCUUCGGGUUGUAAACUGCUUUUGGACGGAACGAAAAGCCCCGGGUUAAUACCCUGGGGUCAUGACGGUACCGUAAGAAUAAGCACCGGCUAACUACGUGCCAGCCGCCGCCGUAA
rnacentral:rRNA from 1 species